rnacentral:misc_RNA from 1 species
GAUGAAGAACGUCAGUGAAAUGCGAUAAGUAGUGUGAAUUGCAGAAUUCAGUGAAUCAUCGAAUCUUUGAACGCACAUUGCGCCCCUUGGUAUCCCGAGGGGCAUGCCUGUUCGAGCGUCAUUUCACCACUCAAGCCUGGCUUGGUGUUGGGCGACGUCCCCUUUGGGGACGCGCCUCGAAACGCUCGGCGGCGUGGCACCGGCUUUAAGCGUAGCAGAAUCUUUCGCUUUGGAAGUCGGGGCCCCGUCUGCCGGAAGACCUACUCGCAAGGUUGACCUCGGAUCAGGCAGGGAUACCCGCUGAACUUAAGCAUAUCAAUAAGCGGAGGA